UGUCCCUUUGGGAAUGCUUAGCGCCUAGACCUGCUUGAGCCUAUGACCUUCAGUAUUGCCUCUUGGACUUCAGGGAACAGGAGAGGAUACAAAAGCCAGCAGAGGCUGACAGAGGAGUGAGAUUUGAGUAGGAUGAGGACAGGGUCCAGGAGGCAGACGAGUAGGGUCAGAGAGUAGGGUUACAGAAGACAGUUGGUGAAAAAAAGAGAUUGAGCAGAGUUAAAAUUGAAGAGAGUCGAGCCAGCAGAAGCUGGGCCGAGCCAUAGAAGACAUUGUUAGGAGACAGUUAGGAGAACACCCAGGAAGUAGAGUGGAGAAUAAAAAGAAGAAGCUACAUGGUACUUUAUGAGAUUAAAAGGUUUUUGUACUGCAAAGGAUAACUCUUAAAUAACUGAAGAGGCAGUCCACAGAGUGGGAUUUUCUUUUUUCUUUUUUCUUUUUUUGCCAUCUGCACAUUUGUAACGGAUUAAUAUCUAGAAUAUGCAAGGCAUCAAGAAACUGUAAGCCCUAGGAAAACAGACAACCAAAUUGAAAAAGGGCUAUGGAACUGAAUAGAGAGUUCUCAGAAGAAGAAAGGCAAUUGGAUAAAGAAAUAUUUUUAAAACUGUUCACCAUCCUUAGCCAUCAGUGCAAAAUGGUUAAAGCUGAAACUCUGGUCAAGGAAGAAAAAGCAGAAAGAUUGUAAAAUUCAACAAUCAGGGAAGAUCACAGAAAAACAGCUUCUGGAUGAGACAAGGGACAACCAGCACCCUGCCUUCCUUGCUCAGCACUCUCUAUGUGAAACUGGCUAUAAUUCUUCUCAUCAUAGGAUUUGCUUUCUUCCAGAAGAGAAAUUAUUUCAGGUCCCAGAGCUAAACUGAGCCAUGGAUGACACUGAAGAUGAGAAGUCCUAAAUGAAGUGUAAAAGAGGAACAAUGGAAGGACUUGGGCCUGAUGACCAUAGAGUUGCCCCACCAGCUGUAGACCAUCUAUUAUCUGUUGUCUUAAUGUGAUGGACAGGGACAGUAAACUAUGUUUUUCACACCA